GGUCUUAUAUUCAUUAUUGAUUUAAAAUUGCAAAUUUUAAGGAGCUUUAAAGCUAAGGCUU
rnacentral:tRNA from 1 species